CCUACGGGAGGCAGCAGUGGGGAAUAUUGCACAAUGGGGGAAACCCUGAUGCAGCGACGCCGCGUGAGUGAAGAAGUAUCUCGGGACGUAAAGCUCUAUCAGCAGGGAAGAAAAUGACGGUACCUGACUAAGAAGCCCCGGCUAACUACGUGCCAGCAGCCGCGGUAAUACGUAGGGGGCAAGCGUUAUCCGGAUUUACUGGGUGUAAAGGGAGCGUAGACGGUAGCGCAAGUCUGGAGUGAAAUGCGGGGGCUUAACCCCCAGACUGCUCUGGAAACUGUGUAGCUGGAGUGCAGGAGAGGUAAGCGGAAUUCCUAGUGUAGCGGUGAAAUGCGUAGAUAUUAGGAGGAACACCAGUGGCGAAGGCGGCUUACUGGACUGUAACUGACGUUGAGGCUCGAAAGCGUGGGGAGCAAACAGGAUUAGAUACCCGUGUAGUC
rnacentral:rRNA from 1 species